GCAUAUCAAUUAUCAAAUAAUUUUUUUUAUUUAAAUUCAACUCAUUCAAAUUCAAUUAAUUCAAUUUUUAUAAAACACUCCCUAAAAUGAUUCAGAUUAAUGUUACUAGUCUAUUCUAAUGUAGUAAUGGUCAAUCGGGAGUUGAGCCCAAGAUUAAAGCUUUGGGGUUUAAGAACUUCGAAGAUAGGGGGGAAGAAUAUGAUAAUAAUUUCUUUGAGACAGGGCAAUAAUAAUAUCAUGUGCCUAAUAACAAAAGUAAUGCAUGCAUAAUUAAAAAUCCUGGAUUUCUUCGAAACUACAUGAUCAGCCGGCCCGGCAUACAUCACGCAUCUACGAUCCAUCCAAUUAAUUCUAUAAACAUAAUUUUAUUUAAUCGAGAUUUAAUAUUAAAGAAAUAAAAACUGUAUUCCGUCAUUAAAAGAGUUUUAUUUGAAUUAUGAUGUAAACUUAAUUUGACGAUUGAAAUUUAAUAUGUUUUGUUUAGGUAAACAAUUGCAUGAAUCAAAAUUGAAUUUUUGAAUCCGUUGGACCAACUCUUACGUUUGGAUUGAAGUAAUGAAGCUAAGAAUGAAAUGACUCAUUCUUGUGAAAUAAAAAAAAUUAUAUUUGGUUGCGAUGAGAAUAGGUUGAACCAUUCUUAUUUCUCCUAAAUUUAUAAAUUUUAUUCUUCAGGGUUAAGAGAGUAUGAAAUAAUACAUUCCAUUCUCCAUUUCAUUUCAUUCCAUUCCUUCGAUCUAAACGUAGUAUUGAUUCUUCUUUUUCAUAUCAAUGGAUCGUCCGUCGCAAAUGUAAUCAGACGUAUUAAUUUUAACUAGCGACGGAUUUGGUCUGCGUCUGUUGCAAAAUAUCAUUCUUCAACUAGUAUUUUAAGCCCAGAUGUCUAGGGGUCCUAAGCUUAGCAGAUUUGUACUGAGGCUGAACAUCCCAGUUAAACAUCUUGAUGGCCCAAUGAAAACUCAUAACGAGAAAUAGGCCCAUUUAACUACUGUUUGAUAAAAUUGAAUGUUAAGAUCCGAACAAUUUAGAUAUUUAAAUAAUGUAGAACAUCUUAAUAAAAUUGUAUCUGAAUAAAAAAUAUUGUUUGAUAAUUAAUUUUUUCAAAAUGUCUUUUAAUAACAAUUUUUUACCAUAUUACCCUUAAACUCUUUUCUCUCUCUCAGAUUUCGGCGAUUGAAGCACCAAAAUUAACCGUAACAAAGAACAAAACAAAGCAGAUCAAUUAAUAGAGAAGACCAAAACCCACAACAAACAACGGCAAAAGUCACCUCGACGCGGAUUGGAUGCAUCGCAAGGAGACCCACCUAAGCACUCCAUGGAUUCCAGCAAAAAUUCCAGUUUAUGCACCUCAGUCAUGAAAAAUUGAUUCCAUAGUCGUCAUGAGAUAUAUAUGGAGUAUAUAUAUACAGUCCAUUUUAAAGGUUUACCCCUUUAUUUUAUAUACCAUGCUCACCUUUUUUAGCCACGAAUCGAUCGACGAUUCUGUCCUUCGCUAUAUUAAAAAAUUAUAGUCUUAAUUUUUAACGACAGAGACAGACAACAUAGGGUUGUGCUAUAUAUAUGUCAACUAUCGAUCCACCCAUAAAAUUAAUGGGAAUCAUCUUUUCUCUAAAAUAUUUUUUUUAACAAAUUAUGGAAAGUAGUAAACUGCUCUUAAUUAAUUAUGCAACUGCACAUACAGUCGUACGUGGAUUCAGAUCGGCUGCAUCGCAAGGAGACCCACCUAAGUAAUGCAUGAAUUCCAACAAAAAAUAAGUACGAGCAACGACGGUAUGGGGAGGAGGAGGGAGAAGAUGGAUUUUAUAAUAUUGAAAAAAUUAUUAUUUUUUUAAAAAUAGUUAAUGUGAUUUAGAUCACCUUUAAAUAAUAUAAAUUUAAUUUCAUAUUUUAUUGAUUAAGAGGCAUUAAGAGAUAAAAAUAAAUUUAUCAAAAAUUAAAAAUAUACUCAUUAAAAACUAUUCAAAUAUAAACAAACACAACCUUAGUCAAGCUAUUCUAAUAGAAGUCAACUUAAUUGAACAUGUAGUAGAUCAAAAACAACAAAACUCCUCUUCAUCCUCUUUUUAACUUCUAGUAGUUUUUUUUUAUAUAAAAAAUCCCUCUUUUUUACGUUACUGUCUUAAAUAUGAUUAGAAAUUACUAUUAUUUUUACAAGAAAACAUACUAAUCCCUUUCUCCAUAAAAUAACAAUGAAAAUUAUAAAAAUGGAAUGGCUCUUUUUUUCUUGAGACAAAAGGACUUCUAGUUUAAAGGUGUUUAUAGAACUAGUACAUUUUUCUGGUGGGAUUUAUAUAUUUAUAAAAUUAGUACAUUUUUUUCUGUUACUAUAACAUAUAAAGCUGACAACAUAACGAUAGUAAGAGUUCGAACCGUCGUCAUAACUAAAAAUCGUCUAUAGUCGAUUCAUUUUAAUUCAUGCUUAUAAGUUUAGAAAAACAAUUUGACUUAUCAAAAUGUAGAUUUUACAAAGAUUAAGAUGCAAAUUGUUUAAAUGCCAAGUAUGCAAAUUAUUUUGACCCUUAGACUAUCUUUAUUUACAAAGAUUAUUUUUAAUCAUAAGAUUAUAAUAAAAUUAUAAUUCUAGAAUUAUAAUUAUAAUUUUAAUACUAUUAAAUUAUUUUAUAAUUCUUAAAUUAAUAGUCUCAAAUCUUAUUUUAAAAACAAACAAGAUAUUUAAAAUUAAUAAUCAUAUUCAAAUAAUUUAAGGGCCUAAAUUAUAGCAUGCAGUUGGUGAUUUAGUUUCUUUGUGAGUUUUGAUUUGGGGGAAGGCCGAAGGGAAAGUUUUUUUUUUUUUUGGUUAGAAUAAUAAAAAAUGAUAAUUGUGGUACAUAUGAAGUAUAAUUAUAAGUGUCAAAGACGAGAAAUAGAAGAGAACAAAAACUAACAUUAAUUGCAAAUUAAAUAAAAAGAAUUAUACUAUAUAUACAUUUUUCUUAAGGCCAAACAAGGUCAACACACACCCUCAAGUCGGAUAAAUCCUCCCCAAAAUUAUCUCCCUUGUUGCACCGGCCGUCGGCCGGAGUUGUUGCCGGCUGUUUAGCAACCCUUUUCUCAGUAAAGCAAGUUGCACCGGUUGAGGUAGAGGCACCACAAGAAGAGAGAGGCAAUGAUGUUGAGUAGGCUAAGUCCGUGUUUGGGUGUUUGAGAAGUUCAGACACAAGAAGAACAAGAGAAGCCAUUAUUUGAGAGAGAGAUGAGAAUAUUUGAAAAAGAAGUUGUUUGAUUUUGAUUAAUUAAUGGAGAAUAUGGUGAGUGAAUGUGUAGUAUUUAUUGGGGUUAUAAAUUAAAUGAAGCUCUUGAAUACUAGUAAAGAGUAGCCCACUGGUUUGGAGAUGGGUG
rnacentral:lncRNA from 1 species